AUCUGCAGGGCACGGCCUGCUGACGUGCGGCCCUCCUGUGCCAUCAGUCACGCGUGCUACAUUCCGACAGAAGAGGGCCUCCCAGCUUCACCUUCAGCGAGGCGGGUCCUGAGAAAGAAAAGAAGAAACUCUGAGGCUGCUCUUGAGUUCAGAUUCAGCUGUACAGCCUAGCUGAAGCCCAGCACGAGAUAGAAGCAGUGUGAGGACAUGCCAUGCAUUAGCCUUCCCCCAGCAAUGUGAGGAGACACCUUGCAAUACUUUGCAACAGGGUAUUGUGGAACCUACACGAGUUCAUCCUGGCAGUGACAGAAUCACCACAGAGUUGAGAAUGUUGUGACACUGACUUGAAUGGUAAGUUGCUCCAAAUUAGUAUCUAUUCAUCAGAGGAGCCCUUUGCUUGAAUGUUCUUUCUGGCUGCAUUGCUUGCCAAAAGGCUCUUAUGACCCAAGUCCCUAGCACAGACUCCAAAAAAGCUGAUGUAUAUCAUUGGAGUUGGGAAGAAGCAUUCCCUCUUGAGAAUGCCAUUUAACAUAAGGCAAACGUCUUUCUUUUGACAGAUGGGAAUGUAAUCUCUACGUAGUCUUUCAGCUUUGUUUGACUGUUAGCUUUGAAAGCUGGAGAGAGCUGAGCUGUCUCUGUUCAGAGCUAAGCAUGCGUCUGAAGCAGUAGGUGUGUCUGUGCCACACAAUGCGCUUUUAAGAUCCUAGGUCUGUAGGCAUGAGUGUCAAAGCAAACUUAUCAGCCUGAAACAAAUUCAGAUAAAAGAUCUGUCCAGUGGAAGUCAGGAAGGGAGAUGGAUUCUAAAAUAUAAGGAAUUUAUUUUUCUCAUUACCCUGAGUGGUAAAAUAAGCCAGUUGUCUGUAAAGAAACAGAGAGAAGAGAAUUGAGAGGGUAUGAAAUUUUAUUCAAUUUCAAAAUCCUUGCAGUAUAAAGAUUAAUUCCAAUCAGGGAAAGAGACAAGAUGAGAACUCUUAGCCUACUGGCUGUCAGUCCAGUGUAGCUUUGGUAAAGCAGGGAUAAAUGGGAUAAGUAGUUAAAGAUACUGUCAUAACUUGUGAGCACAGAAAAAGAAGAAUAAUUUUACAUGGAAAAAAUUGGAAACAGUUUAACAAUGAACAACAACAACAAAAAAAAAAGUGAUGUCUGGAAAUCUGCCCCAUAGUUAGGGAAUUAUAGAAGCUCAUCCAAGAAAAGGUUAAGGCAUGACUUGACCCCAGUUUCUGCAAGGCUCCUUAAUUUAGCAGACAAUGGCAUAAUGAGAGCUGGUGCCUGGGAAAGAAAGCCAAAUAAUUCUGCAGAGAAACACAUUACUUUAAAAUGGGAAAAAUUCUGCUCAUUGGAAUAAGGGAGGUGAUAGAUUCCAUCUUCUGAAGUCUUUAAAUAAAGAGCAGAUUUCAUUCUAAAAAUAACUGUUGCUCACACAGAUGUUGUGUGAUUGAUAUAAGGAAUAUCAGAUGAAGUUUUAUUUCUUGGGCUAUACAAAAGGAAAAGCUAUUUGGUCCUAAGGUGGCUUCCAGUCUUAAAAUCUGUUCUGGUAUUUCUUCAUGUUUGAAUGCUUUUCUUUACAACCUUAACAGUGUUAUUCAUCUUUUAUAUACUAUUUUUAGCAAUUCAGCAGUGCCUUUUGUGGGGUUUAGAUCCAGAACUCCUGGGACAUUUCAAGAUCUCUGCUGCUGCCACCACAGUAUUGGUAUCAAUAUUAGCUUACUGUCCUCUUUUUAAAGGUUACCAGCGGAGCUCUGACACACAUACCGUGCCAGAGCUCUACAGAGCUAAUAAAGAGUCCUCAGAAAAAUG
ensembl:lncRNA